UAGACGUUGAAAACACAUGACGCGGACGGAACCUCUUUGUAAUUCGCCGACGCUGUUAUCACCCACUGUUGUUUUUAUAAUAUUCUCUCGUGUCGCGAUGAGCGCGUGUCUUUAAUGUAGACAGUCUUUCAGUGUGGUAGUGUGUACUGUCUUACGUCGUCGGGUUACUUGUUUACUUAGGUGAGGUGUCUCAGUUUCUAUAUACUGGUCCAGAACGCCACUGAUCGCUGUCGUCGUCUAAAUGGCCGAUCGUCUUACCCAACUCCAAGACAUUGUUAAUCAGCAGGCGGAUAACUUCUGCAACAGCAUCGGAAUUUUACAACAGUGCGCUUUACCAUCCAAAUUUUCAAACUUUGACCGAAACGGGUCGCAAACACCACAGCAACAAGAAGAUUAUACAAGUUUAUUUUCUUCACUUAUAACUCGCUGUGCCAAAGAUAUUGACGCAUUAAUCGAAUCACUGCCCAACGACGAUACUUCUACAGAUUUACAGGUUGCUAGUUUGCGGAGAUUAGAGCAGGAUAAUCAGUUAGCUGCAGAACGUUUGGAAGAAGUAGUUCGAAAAGGUGAACUUCUUCUUGAACAGAUACAAGCAGCUCUCUCUGAUAUUGCUCAACAGCAAUUAGAUAUUCAACAGAGUAGUGAUAACAACACGUGUUAAUAAAAGGUUAUAUAAUGAAAGUAAAGAAUAAAAAAAAUGUAGUUAAAGCUAUUUCGGCUAUUGGUAAGACACAUAAAAUUAAAAGGAACAAAAUAAAACGAUUAACAGAAAAAAAAGGUAAAAAGAAGAAGAUAUCAAAAAAAGCACUGGUAGAAGUUGGUCUGAAAAAUGACAAACCAAAACCUAAAGCUAAAGUGGAAACAACUCAAUCUAUUAAAAAUGACAAUCUAAUAAAAUUAACAAAUAUAAGUUACAAAGGUGCGCCCGAAAGCUCUACUCCUAGUUUGUGCAAACAACAGAAAAAGGUAGAUGGAGACAAAACAUCCGUGUCCUUUAUCAAGAGGAUGAAAGAUAAAUUGAAAGGUGCAAGAUUCAGAUAUAUAAAUGAACAAUUUUAUUCAUCUAGCAGCCAAGAUGCUUUGCAAUA
rnacentral:misc_RNA from 1 species